AUGUACACCAGCACCUGCUCCGCGGCCGACGAGCGCGUGUACUGCCCGGAGUGCCGCCGCGCGACGGAGGUUGUCCUGGACCACGGCACAGGCGACACCAUCUGCACCGAGUGCGCGCUCGUCCUCGACGCGCACUACAUCGACGAGGGUUCCGAGUGGCGCAACUUCGCCGACGACGGCGGCGGCGACGACCGCGACCCCAGCCGCGUCGGCACCUCUGGCGACCCCUUCCUCAACACAAGCUCUCCACCGAUGUCGGUGCCGGACGCGGGGGUGGCCUCCGAAAACACCCUCGUCGACGGCUUCCGCGGCAUCGCCGACAUGGCCGACCGGCUCGGCCUCGUGGCCACCAUCCGGGACCUGGCCAAGGAGACGUUCAAGAAGCUGGACGAGGCCAAGGGCUGCCCGCGCGGCCGGAAGCGGGACUCCGUCUACGCCGCCUGCCUCUACAUCGCCUGCCGCAACCUCGGCAUGCCGCGCACGUACAAGGAGCUCGCGUCCGUCACCGCCGGGGGCGUGGCCGCCAAGAAGGACGUCGGCAAGAUGACGACGCACAUCAAGAAGCUCCUCGGGGAGGAGGACGGCCAGGUGAUGGACAUCGGCGUCGUCAGCGCCACUGACUACCUGCGCCGCUUCUGCUCCCGGCUCGGCCUGGGCAACCAGGAGGUGCGCGACGCACAGGAGGCCGUGCGGAGGGUCGAGCAAGGGCUCGACGUGCGCCGCAACCCGGAGUCGGUCGCCGCCGCCAUCAGCUUCAUGGUCGUGCAGCUGUCCGUCGCCACCGGCGUCGCCGAGGGCACCAUCAAGGAGGUGCACAAGGACCUCACCCCGCACGCCCAGAUGCUCUUCGGCUGA
rnacentral:rRNA from 1 species